UCCUGGGAAGGCCUCGUGUUGCAACCC
rnacentral:rRNA from 2 species